rnacentral:rRNA from 1 species
CACGUAGGGGGCAAGCGUUGUCCGGAUUUAUUGGGCGUAAAGAGCUCGUAGGCGGCUCAGUAAGUCGGGUGUGAAAACUCCAGGCUCAACCUGGAGACGCCACCUGAUACUGCUGUGGCUAGAGUCCGGUAGGGGAGCAUGGAAUUCCUGGUGUAGCGGUGAAAUGCGCAGAUAUCAGGAGGAACACCGGUGGCGAAGGCGGGUCUCUGGGCAGUAACUGACGCUGAGGAGCGAAAGCGUGGGUAGCGAACAGG